UGGUGUAUCCAUGGCAACAAUCUGCAUUUAUUUGUUAUAAAAUAUUGCAAAAAGGGGGGGAAAGAUGUCACAUAUUUCCCCAAAAUUUGGCUAAAAGUAGAAUUUCAAUCAUUUGAAGUAAUACCUUUUCUGAAACUGUGUACAUAUAUCAUUCAGCAAAUCCAAUGAAAAUCAUAUGUCUUUCAUCUCAUUUUUUUGUAAAAUUGCGUCAAAAACUUCGCGUAGAAAAAGAGUGUUUGUAAACAGUACAUUAAUUUCUGGACCGAUGGCCGGUCUAGCUAUGAAAAUACGGAUUGUCAAACAGAAAACAGCCCAUAAAACAUGUAAAAAAUAAUCUUGA
rnacentral:lncRNA from 1 species